CGGGGGGUCGCACGGGAUGAACUUGUCUCGAGAAAAGUGAGGACACUCGUAGCGGGGCUUCGGCUUCUCUACGAGAGAAAUCACGUUAAUCGCAAUGGCUUGAACCGGGCAAAAGUCGUAACAAGGUACCUGUAGGUGAACCUGCAGGUGGAUCAUCGC
rnacentral:rRNA from 1 species